ACUAAGUUGCUGCUGCCCUGUGUGUUCAUGUCCAGUUUUUGGAGGAUUUUUAAUUCUGUAAAAUUCAUGCUGCUAGAUCAAACUUUGUGCGCUGAAAAGCGAUGUAGUCUCUCACUUUGACUUGUACGGGCAGCGUGAGCCAGCGCACGGCCGGCAGCCCGUCCAGGAAGAUGUUCUCGGAGUCGUCAGCGGGCGGCGCCGGGGGAGAAUCUGACGGUCGUAGGAUCCGCAGGAAGAACAAACGGAAGAAGUGGUCCAGCUGCGCCGUGCCCUCCGUCCUGCCGAAGGCCCUACGGGAGAGGCACCCGUCAAACGCAACGUCGAGCGCUUGUGGUUUUGCGCGUGCGUGCGACCAACCUUUCCAAGGAUCCAUGCGUGAAUCGUAACGUCCGCACGACAUCGCCCACCAGGGAUUGCAGACUCAGCAAAGGAACCCUGAAAGGAAAUUUGACAGUUGUUUGCGCUUCGAGCAUCAGACAGGAAACUGUUUGCAAUAUAAAAGCAAUUCCAUUUUUUGAGUCUCAA